AACAUCAGGGUCCAUCGACAAUAUUAUCGGCUCCCUGAAGGGACAUUACAAGUUGCGAAAGUUGCAAAGUUGCUUAUGGCCUGUGGAAGAGGAGAGCUAUCAAAAUUUAAAGGCCUGACAUUGGACGAGAUCAACGUUGAUCCAAAUGAGGAAGUACCUGAAGACAGCUCUCUAUCUGGAAGUGAAGAUGAAGAUGUGAUGUCGAGUCUAUCCUCUAACUCAUCAGGUCUAAGACCAGUGAAA